UACGUAGGGUGCAAGCGUUAAUCGGAAUUACUGGGCGUAAAGCGUGCGCAGGCGGUUGUGCAAGACCGAUGUGAAAUCCCCGGGCUUAACCUGGGAAUGGCAUUGGUGACUGUACGGCUAGAGUGCGUCAGAGGGGGGUAGAAUUCCACGUGUAGCAGUGAAAUGCGUAGAGAUGUGGAGGAAUACCGAUGGCGAAGGCAGCCCCCUGGGAUAACACUGACGCUCAUGCACGAAAGCGUGGGGAGCAAACAGG
rnacentral:rRNA from 1 species